UACGUAGGGGGCAAGCGUUGUCCGGAAUUAUUGGGCGUAAAGAGCUCGUAGGCGGUGUGUCGCGUCGGCCGUGAAAACCUGCAGCUUAACUGUGGGCGUGCGGUCGAUACGGGCAUCACUGGAGUUCGGCAGGGGAGACUGGAAUUCCUGGUGUAGCGGUGGAAUGCGCAGAUAUCAGGAGGAACACCGGUGGCGAAGGCGGGAUCCUGGGCCAGUACUGACGCUGAGGAGCGAAAGCGUGGGGAGCAAACAGG
rnacentral:rRNA from 1 species